GUGUAAUUGCCUCGGCAUUUUUUUGCCGAGGCAAACUAUGAAAAAUCGUAACUUGCCUCGGCAUUUGCGUCGGCAAUUGCCGAGUGCCGAGGCGAAUUUCGAGGGUUGUAACAAGUUGUUCCAACACGAUUAAUGCAGGCUGUAAGGUGCUACAAAUUUGUUAUCAUACAUCAAAUUGUUAACGACUUGUACAUGCAGACGAUGUCAUGAUAUCGCACUUUUGGCCAAUGGCCUUGUUUUCUUGUUUGCCCGUUUUAGAAUGGCAUGCAAGCGCACAUGAAAAUUACAUCUCCAUGUCAAAGGCACGAGUAUGUUUCUCUUGAUCUUGAGCGUCAAACAUGAAGGAAAUAAACGAAGUCAAACAUGAGGAAAUAAAGGAGGCCAUUGUAUCCUGUCUUUUAUUUUCUCUGUUUUCACAUUAGGCGGAGCAAGUUGUGGGUCGGCACGAAGCUCUAGGAAGAUGUUCUGUGAUUGGUUGAUUAUGACAAUGACAAAAGAAUAAGCUAUAGAAUGGAUUUUGUAAAGAACGAAGCAAGAACAAUAUUCCUUUUGUUUAUGUAAGCCAAUUACGUCACAGAACAUCUUCCUAGAGCUUCGUGUUUGCUGGAAGUUGUAACACAAGCUCCCACCCAGGCUCUUUCCUCUACGCUCCGUAGAGGAAAAAGCCUGGGUACGAGGCUGAUUGCAUCAAAAAUUGCUUCAUGGCCUAUUUGUGUGUAAAUAAUUCGAUUUCGGGUAAACGACUCGAAUGACUUGUAUUAUAUAGUAAUUUUUUGUUAUAAUAUAUAUUGUAUAUAUAUACAUACAUAGAAUAUAGAAUCGUUUCAGAAUUAGGAAUGCGAGUUUAGCAUUUGUGAUCUCUUAACGCUAUAUAUUUUCCACUAAAUACAGGGCUUUCAAAAUAAGCCGGCGGCCGCCGGAACUCCGACGGGUGCUACGAGGUUCACCGCCAGUUACUUUGUUUAGUACUUGAAUGAUCAAUUCUGCUCUUCUUCCUCCACUCUGAGCUUUCAAACAAAGUUAUUUUUCCUCAACUUGGUCUAUACUGUACUUUAUAGCCUUGUUAUUUUCGAAAACGUCG